UAUGUGGCCUGCUCGCUCGGUCCAACGGCAUCCAUCCGAUUAGCCACCCAAGUGUGCGCCACAAACUAGCCCGUCUCCCAGUGCCAGUGACUUAGCGUGACACCCCGUAUACCCAUGCUUCGCACUUUCGUGCUUCGCACUUUCGUGCUUCGCAUCCAACUCAUACGGCUCUCGUGUCCCAUCUCUCCUGGCAAGGAAAACCAACACCGUGCUUCUCGACCGUCUACACGACCCUCGCUUUGCCAUGACACUCCGCGCCCUUGAUCUCUUUAGAUUCGCCUCAUACGGCUCCAUCCAUAUUAAUCCCCAAUAAAAUGUGCCACGUGGCGAUAUCUCUUUAACUUGAAUUGUUUGAAUUGUGGGCUCAUCCUUUCCAUCCCCUCACCGGACACUUCCCUCACCUCUUCCAAAACGUACACCCAUUUACCUCCCUUCACAUACUCUCAUAUUUUUUCAAAACGCACACAUCUUCACCUUUCUUCAUACUUUUCCAAAAUAUACACUCUCUCAUUUUCCCACCCUUCACAAUUUUUUAAAACAUACACCCUCUCAUUUUUCCACCCUUCAUACUUUUCAAAACGUACACUUUCUUAUCUCCCCACCCUUCAUGCUUUUCAAAAUGUACACCCUCUCACCUCCCCACCCUCCAUACUUUUUCAAAACCUUCAUAUUUUUUUAAAACGUACACUCUGAAUUUAAAAAUGCAGAUUUCUACAUAGCAUUAUAUUUUUUUCAAAACCUUUAUAGCAUUAUAAUGUAUUUCUACCUUAAACUUUUCAUUUUUUUCUUCUUCUACAUCCUCUCUCUCUCUCCCCAUUAACAGAGAAGUUGGUGAUAGUGUAAUUUUUAGUAGAUGUGGUAUAGAUUGCUAGAGCAUUCGUUGCUAUGCCAAGAAACUUCGCUAUGACUCCUACGUUGCCCCUCGCAAUGGCCUCCUCUCCGUGGGCUGUGAUUGCAGCGCUUGCUUCCCUACCUCCUCUCAAACCUCCUCCUUUGUCGCCUUUGACGUCCAAUUCAACUACUUUACUAUCGACACUCUAAAAUCCUUUUUUUAUCUUUCUAUGAUUUUUUUUUCUUUUUAAUCAAACCCUUUUUAUAUGAGAUUCAUUUUUUUG
rnacentral:lncRNA from 1 species